UACAGAGGUCUCGAGCGUUGUUCGGAUUCAUUGGGCGUAAAGGGCGCGUAGGCGGCGGGGUAAGUCUGGUGUGAAAUCUCGGAGCUCAACUCCGAAAUUGCACUGGAUACUGCUCUGCUAGAGGGCUGGAGAGGAGAUCGGAAUUCACGGUGUAGCAGUGAAAUGCGUAGAUAUCGUGAGGAAGACCAGUGGCGAAAGGCCGGAUCUCUGGACAGUUCCUGACACUGAGACACGAAGGCCAGGGGAGCAAACGGG
rnacentral:rRNA from 1 species